UACAGAGGGGGCAAGCGUUGUUCGGAAUUACUGGGCGUAAAGCGCGCGUAGGCGGACCUGCAAGUCGGGGGUGAAAGCCCGAGGCUCAACCUCGGAACUGCCUUCGAUACUGCGGGUCUCGAGUCCGGGAGAGGUGAGUGGAAUUCCUAGUGUAGAGGUGAAAUUCGUAGAUAUUAGGAAGAACACCAGUGGCGAAGGCGGCUCACUGGCCCGAUACUGACGCUGAGGCACGAAAGCGUGGGGAGCAAACAGG
rnacentral:rRNA from 1 species